AUUGAACGCUGGCGGCAGGCCUAACACAUGCAAGUCGAACGAGUGGCGGACGGGUGAGUAAUGUCUGGGAAACUGCCUGAUGGAGGGGGAUAACUACUGGAAACGGUAGCUAAUACAGCAUACCAUCGGAUGUGCGCAGAUGGGAUUAGCUAGUAGGUGGGGUAACGGCUCACCUAGGCGACGAUCCCUAGCUGGUCUGAGAGGAUGACGCGCCACACUGGAACUGGGACACGGGCCAGACUCCUACGGGGGGCAGCAGUGGGGAAUAUUGCACAAUUGGCGCAAGCCUGAUACAGCCAUGCCGCGUGUAUUAAGAAGGCCUUCGGGUUGUAAAGUCCUUUCAGCGGAGAGGCGUUACCCGCAGAAGAAGCACCGGCUAACUCCGUGCCAGCGGCCGCGGUAAUAC
rnacentral:rRNA from 1 species